rnacentral:lncRNA from 1 species
GGAAAUCUGAAUGUCACCCGCGGUCCGGAGCAGAUAGGAUGGGCUGGGAAGGUACCCGCGAACUGCCGCCGGAAUUCGCUGGCAGCUGUGCGAGGCUCAGUGAGGAAAAAGACAAUUGUCUACAAAGAAAGAGGCUGCCAAGUGGAGACAGAAAAGCAGUUAUGAGACUGAUGAUAGAUUCCAAUUUGUUAUCGAAAGGAAGGAGGAGACCUGAACAGUACAUCCGGAGAAUCCAGCAAAGCAUACUACGGCAUGAACGUGCAAGUGGACAGAAUUAAAACACAUGCCAGAAACACUAAUGGAUUCUAAACAAGAUGCAGUUUCAUUUCCUGAGCCUAUACGUGAUGUUUUUAACUGUUCUCCAGUUAAUAUGUCUCCAUUUCCAGAAAUCUAACAGGAGAAUCUCUGACUGCUUAACAGAUCACCUAAGCUUGCGAUUUGUGCAAUCCUUUCUAGAGUAAGGGCUCCCCGGCUGCUCCCCGGCCACUGUGUACCCAAAGCAGCGGCUGAAAUAGCCCGGAGUCCAACAGCUCAGCGUCAAGCAGCUCGUGGCAAACGCAGCCGCCGGUCUUGACUGCCAUCGCCCAAGGGGUUCCUCUGGGCUCUCCCGCGAGCCAACAGCCGACCUCUCUCCAGCCUAGUCUGGGAAACUCCAGCCAACCCAGGAUCCCAUUUUGUAGUCCCGGGCAGACCCGAAACCCCUGAAAGAACUCCACUCCAGAAGACGCCAGAACAAGUUCCCACGAAUUUCAUGGGCGCCCUUCACAUG